rnacentral:rRNA from 1 species
AAUUCGACGCAACGCGAAGAACCUUACCAGGGCUUGACAUCCCCUGACCGCGUAUGAAAGUACGUUUUCACCCUCGGGUGACAGGGAGACAGGUGGUGCAUGGUUGUCGUCAGCUCGUGUCGUGAGAUGUUGGGUUAAGUCCCGGCAACGAGCGCAACCCCUACGUUUAGUUGCUAACAGGUGAAGCUGAGCACUCUAGACGAACUGCCGUUGACAAAACGGAGGAAGGUGGGAUGACGUCAAAUCAUCAUGCCCCUUAUGUUCUGGGCUACACACGUGCUACAAUGGCCGGUACAGACGGAGGCGAAGCCGCGAGGCGGAGCAAAUCCGAAAAAGCCGGUCUCAGUUCGGAUUGCAGGCUGCAAUUCGCCUGCAUGAAGUCGGAAUCGCUAGUAAUCGCAGGUCAGCAUACUGCGGUGAAUACGUUCCCGGGCCUU